UUGCAAUGAUGAGGUUUAGGAAUCAGUGAAGGGCAUUUGUUGAACGCUUGAUGAAACGUUCGACCGUUGUGUGGAUCCUGAGUUGUUAUCUGAGCAA